rnacentral:rRNA from 1 species
AUUGAACGCUGGCGGCAGGCCUAACACAUGCAAGUCGAGCGAGCGGCGGACGGGUGAGUAAUGUCUGGGAAACUGCCUGAUGGAGGGGGAUAACUACUGGAAACGGUAGCUAAUACCGCAUACCAUCAGAUGUGCCCAGAUGGGAUUAGCUAGUAGGUGGGGUAACGGCUAACCUAGGCGACGAUCCCUAGCUGGUCUGAGAGGAUGACCAGCCACACUGGAACUGAGACAAGGUAAAGACUCCUACGGGAGGCAGCAGGUGGGAAGAGUGCACAAUGGGCGCAAGCCUGAUGCAGCCAUGCAGAGGGUGUGAAGAAGGCCUUCGGGUUGUAAAGCACUUUCAGCGGGGAGGCGUUACCCGCAGAAGAAGAACCGGCUAACUCCGUGCCAGCAGCCGCGGUAAUUC